rnacentral:rRNA from 1 species
GAAUAUUGGACAAUGGGGGCAACCCUGAUCCAGCCAUGCCGCGUGUGUGAAGAAGGCCUUUUGGUUGUAAAGCACUUUAAGCAGUGAAGAAGACUCCAUGGUUAAUACCCAUGGACGAUGACAUUAGCUGAAGACUAAGCACCGGCUAACUCUCACCCAGCAGCCUGGGUAAGACAGAGGGUGCAAGCGUUAAUCGGAACUACUGGGCGUAAAGCGAGCGUAGGUGGCUUGAUAAGUCAGAUGUGAAAUCCCCGGGCUUAACCUUGGAACUGCAUCUGAUACUGUUAGGAUAGAAUAGGUGAGAGGAAGGUAGAAUUCCAGGUGUAGCGGUGAAAUGCGUAGAGAUCUGGAGGAAUACCGAUGGCGAAGGCAGCCUUCUGGCAUCAUAUUGACACUGAGGUUCGAAAGCGUGGGUAGCAAAC